AGAAUGUAAUAACCCCUUCCACCAAGCCACGCCUCGAAAAUUACCUUAGUCUUCCAACAUGAUGAUUUGGGGAAGAAUCUUGCCUGCGCAAACCAUUCUUUCAAUAAUUUUUGAAAGAAUGAUAUGCUAGGUUGUGUUAAAUAAUCACCUCUAUACUUCAUACGUCCCGAAAGAAACUUACAAGUAAUCCAAACAGUAUAAAUACUUUCUUCAUUCUCCCUAGUCUUUUGUUCUGUAUCGAUAUAAGAGAUACUCGAGACAAAACGGAGAGGAAAGCAGUUCCAAUAGCCCAGAAGUAUUGCAAAGGAGUAAAAUUGACCAAUAUCUGAUUUGUAAUUAUUUUCAAAGAAGAGAAAUUUCAGCUACGCUAGACAUGGUAAUUAAACAUUCGACAUCAGAAGUGAAACACGUUAAUUGUGAAACUUCCUGUUCUUCCGUACAUCAGACAAUAUGUCCUAUAUGGAUAAUACGAAUGUCCGACCAUCAACCAGAAUAGACAACGAAAACAUUUUCCUCUUUAGUCUUAUAUUUAAAUAGUAAAUCAAUCAAUGUUGUAUUUAUCAAAUGAUUUUACGAUGCAGACGAGAUUACCUCUAUUAAUGAGUGGGACAUUAGCUAUUCUAAAGAUAUUGUAUUAUGGCAUAUAAGUCAAGAACCCAUAUAUUUUUCAACUAUUAUAAUUAAGAAUAUUAGAUAUAUGAAGCAAGAUGCUCGAUGAAGAAGAGGAGAUCGUAAAAAGGGCGGAGGACGCUGAUGCUACUUACGAAUUUAUUACAAAUCUUGCGAAUAAUCUGAAACCCAAGUUGGUGAGAGAGAAAGCUAAUUAUCUGAUGUCUGAAAGCAACAUGUUGCUAAUGCUAGAGCAUUAUUAUAACAAUCAUUGACUUCAAUAUUGAAUUUUAAUAAAUGAGCGCAUUGGAUCGUGAAAGCAAAAGAGUGGUUCAAGAAACAAUUGAAAAUUCUAACCAAGGAAGGAACAUCGUUAGCUAUUGUUCAUGUAUGCAUUAUGUGAUUGGGAAUACCUAGGAAGAGGAAAAAAAAGAAAAAACAUUUGUGCUUAACGACGAAGUUUUGAAAGACCAAUAUGGCGUAGUUUUAUAAAGUUUGGAACAAUGGUACGAGGAAAUGGGAGAGAUUUACCUUUUUCAAAGCAUUCAACCGCUAAGCGGCUUUAGCUGGAGGGUAUAAGCGAUUAUGCUGAGAAGGAUUUGUCGACGAGCCGUCCGACGUUCCAUGCGGAGCAAAGGUUAAAGGGAAAUUAACAUGAAACUGAGGGAGGUUUAUCAUACAAAAUAAUUUAACUAACAGGGACGAUGAAAAGAUUCACCGUUUUUGGAAGUAAUAACGUUAGCAGGGGAAUAUUAUUUUAAAUUAUACGGGAAAUACAAAGUCCACUUUCACGUCAUCGUUAUUCCAUCGAUUUAAAUUAAGUAACCAUUCGAUAUAAUUAAAAAGGGAGAAGUGUUGAAUUCUAUAUUUCAAAUUCUAUAUUUAAAAUUGCAAUAAUAUUCACAUGUACUUAAAAAAUAUUGGUAAUAUUUAAUUAGCGUUUUUCUUAAAUAUCAAAAUUUGGAUGAAUUAAUUUGAUGCAUAGCGCGAAUUACCCAUUUAAUAUGUUUUGAAAGGAAUUUCGUGAUUGGGUAUGUGCGUAAUACGUUCUCCCAUAUUUAUCGUCAAGUACCUUCGUUUUAAACCUUUCAUUAUUAUCUCUCUCCAUCUACGUAUGCUCGCGUGUGCGCCUAUCCGCGCCAGGUCGAGUGGCUGGAAUGGUGUGUGCGGGUGUACGUACAACUCCUGUAUUGAUUUGAUAAUAAGGAAAGUAUUUUUUCAUUCAUUUUCCUGUCAUCAAACCCAGCAGAUAAUUGGAGAUUAGCUCUAUAAUUCAAUUACCUACUAAGAUUCGUCGUUUGAAAACCCGGUUACUUAUUUUGCAGAGCAAUGGUCUAUUUUCUUAGGAAUCAAUUGAUUUGGAACAUAUUAUACGAAAUAUUAUAUAAUUAGAAGUAUAAUAGUAUUAUUGUUUUGCAUUCUUCAAUAGGGAGUAACUUUCUAGAAAAAUUUACCCGUUCAUAUGAAAGAAUGAAAUCAGUUGUGGUAUAUCGAUUUGCAAAAGACUUAAAUUAAAUCAUACAGCUAAAUAGAUAAUUGAAUUAUACCGCUAAUCGUAUUAUCGCAUUAUCUGCUUGGUUUGAUAAGAGGAAAACUAAUGAAAAAAUACCUUUCUUGUUUUCAAACUAAAAGAGAAGAUGGACGCAAACACGCGCACUCCUUUCCGCCCACUUGACUGUAGCACGUAAGCGCGCAUGUGCACGGAGAGAGGUAGUAAUAAAAUAAUGAUGCUUGUUGGUAGGUACGAGAGGAGGUAUUUCUCAACGAGCAAAUCGUUAAAUGCCGAUCAAUACCCGUUAACAAGGGAAUUUGUAGACCCAUGUCUACAAAUAUUUUUGCGUAAAAAUAUUUUUCAAAAAUAUUUUUCAUAUAUUUUUGCAAAAAUCAAAAUUUUGUUCAAUAUAAUUUUCUAUGAUGUCUAUGAUAAAUGUUGAAUCAAUUCUUUUCCAACAUUAUCAUCCCUUGCAUUAUGUAUAAGGUCUUUCCGUUUUUUUCUUAGAUGACAUCACUAUUACUACUGUUGUUUCCUUCCCGAUUAAUAUUUAUUUUUUCUAACAUAUCUGUAUUAAUGUUUCUCUUUAAUCCAAACUUCCCCUUCGAUAUUACUUAUGACACGAAACUUACUCGUGUUUGGAAAUUUUGCCAUUCUCUUAAUGAAAAAGAAAUAAGUAAUUAAAAGCGUUGGUAGUCUCAAAUUGUAUAUUACGAAAUCGCGAAACGAUAUAUACCAAAAGAAUUUUACGUUUCUGAUUUUGUGGCUUACUAGUUUGGGGAACUAUCUAUUUCAUUAGAAGUUUCAAUACGAACUGAGUUCAGCUUCGAAAAUCUCUCCUCAGUUUCAUGAUUGCUUGUUUACUCCAUCAAAUAUUACUGCAUCGUACGAGGCGUACUCGCGUACCAUUGCAGACAAGUCCUUAUCAAUCCCUUUAAGUGGUUCAGAGAAGCUCUCAGAUCGUUGUGAGUGUACUUCUUUUCCGUAAAAUCGAUUGAUAUUCUUUUCAUAUAACUUGGUAAUUUGACCUUUUCUUGAUUAACUAACUGAUGGGUUCUCUCGGAGGGGAAAUACGGAAAAGAGAAGAAGGUAAUAUUAGGAAACCAUAAAUGUGACGAAAGAUUUUCUCCGAAUACGUUUUUUAUUAUUGUGCAAUAGGGAAAAUACCAUCUUCGAUAACUUGAGCAAUAUGCAUUUGUUUACAAGAAAAGAAGGUAAUAUUUGGAGAAAAUGUUUUCAAGCAAUAUGGCAGUAGAUAUAAAUUCCGACGAAAAAGUUUUUUUACGACGGAAGAUUUCACAAUAAGAAUUGCAUAGUAUUUACUUAGUACGAAAAUUGAUAGUGAUAUCAUUAGUAUGUAAUAAUGUUAGAAUACUAUCUUUAAGUAUAAGUUGGACUUACGAAAGAAGUAACAUUACGAAUUUUCGAUUAAUUUCAUAGCAAUUAGUCUUGAUAAUUACAAUAAUUAUAAAUAAUAAUUAAUUAUAUCAUAAAUAAUUACAGAUUUACGUGAUUAUUUCAAUUAAAAAGGAGAUGAAUAAUUGUUAAUUUCAUUAGAAGAUUUCCAGAUUUAUGAGAUAAUUUCUCGUAUACAUAGAGGAAAUAAAAAUAUAAAUACAUAAAUAGAAGAAAUUAUUUCUAGCUGUUUAGUAGUAUAGAAAGUAUUUCUAGCUGCGAGAAAUUAGUUCUAGCUAGAGAUCUAAAAUCUAGGAAACUUGGUCCUCUAAUGGGAGGACUCGAUUAAUUUCGAGAAGGAAAGUCAUUCCUUCGGUGGUUUUCGAACCAGUAACGUGCAAGCGACUGCCGUACGCAAAAUAAUCCCUAUCCGUAUACCUCGUACAUCUCAAAGAAUACUUUUACAAAUAAUUCAAACGACGAAAACAAUUUCAUCAUUCACACUAGUCAUUCGUUUAUUCCAUUAAUAUGUUUAAAAUUUAGCAGUACUUAUUAGUAUAAGAUUUAUUGUAAAAUUUCAUUUCUAUAUAUUGGAAUUGAAAAUGAUUUUCUUGAUUCAUAUCAUUUUAAUUAUUAUUUUGUUGCGUUUCGGAAAAGUUGCUGUAACAUUUAAAAAGCAUUAUCUGAUUUAUUUUCGGUAAUUAUACAAUUGAAAUGAACGAAUGACUUAGUUAAGUCUUAUUUAAAUAUUGACCUAUUUUAGAGAUACACGAAACGAAUUAAAGGCGAAAGCAAUUCCAAUAACUGAAAAUGACAGCAAAGAAGCUGAAUUAACCGAUAUUUUAAAUAUAAUACGUCCACGGAAAAUACGGUUUUUCGCGUACGCUUGGCGUAAUAAUCAAAUAUUCAACGAUCCAAGUGGAACAUAUUUAAAUUUGUUUUUUCGUUGAUCCUCAUCCAAUAAUACGUCCUACAAAGACAGUAUAAAUGUACGACUGUCAAACAAAUAUAAUCCGGAAAACGUUUUUCUUUUUAGUCUUACAUUUAAUGCUAAUCUCAUAUUGCUGUGUAUUGUGAUACGUAUUAUGAAUUUGAGGUCACAUUAAGCGUCGUAGUAUGUGUAUACAAAUGUAGUAUUGUAGUUAACCGAAAUAAGCUUCCAUAUUAUCCGUAUUUAAGGAGUAUAUACCAGUACGUAUUUGAAUUUAUAAAAAAAUGUUCGUUCUUUACUAAUUCGAUAUAUCAAGAUAAAUUUAAAUUCACAAAAAAUUUACUUCAAUGUAUAUUUUCUUUGAAGAAAUUAAUCUCUAUGAGAAAAUCGGCAACUUUCAUUUCCGUUUAAAGUUCUGCGUCCUACAUAGACUUACUUAGCGAAAUUGUAAUCCAAUCUAGUUUCCAAUAAAUGAAUAUAUCAAUGCAGCAUACGAAAA